UAUGUCCUUCAUCUUACCUAAAGGCACCAGAUUCUUUCUGAUUUUAGAAGCUAAGCAGAGUCAGUUGUGGUUAGUACACAGAUGAGUGACCACCAGUGAAUACCAGGUGCUCUAGGUUAUAU
rnacentral:rRNA from 11 species